rnacentral:rRNA from 1 species
UAGGGAAUCUUCGGCAAUGGGGGGAACCCUGACCGAGCAACGCCGCGUGAGUGAAGAAGGUUUUCGGAUCGUAAAGCUCUGUUGUUAAGGAAGAACGAGUGUGAGAAUGGAAAGUUCAUACUGUGACGGUACUUAACCAGAAAGGGACGGCUAACUACGUGCCAGCAGCCGCGGUAAUACGUAGGUCCCGAGCGUUGUCCGGAUUGAUUGGGCGUAAAGCGAGCGCAGGCGGUUAGAUAAGUCUGAAGUUAAAGGCAGUGGCUCAACCAUUGUAAGCUUUUGAAACCGUUUUACUUUGGUGGCGGAGGGGAAGAUGGAAAUUCCGUUGGAGCAGUGAACAGCCUAGAUUUAUUGGGGACCACCGGUGGCGAAAGCGGCUCUCUGGUCUGUAACUGACGCUGAGGCUCGAAAGCGUGGGGAGCGAACAGG